AUUGAACGCUGGCGGCAUGCCUAACACAUGCAAGUCGAACGGAAGUAGGGGGCAACUCUUACUUUAGUGGCGGACGGGUGAGGAAUGCGUAGGAAUCUGCCCUAAAGCGGGGGAUAACUCGGGGAAACUCGAGCUAAUACCGCAUAUGCUCUACGGAGUAAAGCCGGGGACCUUCGGGCCUGGCACUUUAGGAUGAGCCUACGUCGGAUUAGCUAGUUGGUAGGGUAAAAGCCUACCAAGGCGACGAUCCGUAGCUGGUCUGAGAGGAUGACCAGCCACACUGGGACUGAGAUACGGCCCAGACUCCUACGGGAGGCAGCAGUGGGGAAUAUUGGACAAUGGGGGAAACCCUGAUCCAGCGACGCCGCGUGUGUGAAGAAGGCCUGCGGGUUGUAAAGCACUUUCGGUGGGAACGAAAUAUGCCGGGCUAAUACCCCGGUAGGCUGACGUUACUCAAUGAAGAAGCACCGGCUAACUCUGUGCCAGCCGCCGCGGUAAUAC
rnacentral:rRNA from 1 species